rnacentral:rRNA from 1 species
AUACGUAGGUGACAAGCGUUAUCCGGAUUUACUGGGCGUAAAGGGCGUGUAGGCGGUCUUGCAAGUCAGAAGUGAAAUUCCUGAGCUCAACUCGGGCGCUGCUUCUGAAACUGCAGGACUUGAGUGCUGGAGGGGAUAGCGGAAUUCCUAGUGGAGCGGUAAAAUGCGCAGAUAUUAGGAAGAACACCGGUGUCGAAGGCGGCUAUCUGGACAGUAACUGACGCUGAGGAGCGAAAGCGUGUGGAGCAAACAGGAUUAGAUCCCCUGGUACUCCACGCCGUAAACGAUGAAUACUAGGUGUAGUGGGUAUCGACUCCCUCUGUGCCGCAGUUAACACAAUAAGUAUUCCGCCUGGGGAGUACGGCCGCAAGGUUGAAACUCAAAUGAAUUGACGGGG